AACGCGAAGAACCUUACCAGGGCUUGACAUGCACGGUGUGAUCGCAGAGAUGUGGUGUCCUUUGGGGUCGUGCACAGGUGGUGCAUGGUUGUCGUCAGCUCGUGUCGUGAGAUGUUGGGUUAAGUCCCGCAACGAGCGCAACCCUUGUCCUGUAUUGCCAGCGGGCGUUUCGGCGUGCCGGGGACUUGCGGGAGACUGCCGGGGGUCAACUCGGAGGAAGGUGGGGACGACGUCAAAUCAUCAUGCCCCUUAUGUCCUGGGCUGCACGCAUGCUACAAUGGCCGGUACGAGAGGGCUGACGAUACCGUGAGGUGGAGCGAAUCCCUAAAAAGCCGGUCUCAGUUCGGAUCGGGGUCUGCAACUCGACCCCGUGAAGUCGGAGUCGCUAGUAAUCGCAGAUCAGCAACGCUGCGGUGAAUACGUUCCCGGGCCUUGUACACACCGCUCGGUC
rnacentral:rRNA from 1 species